rnacentral:lncRNA from 1 species
CCCUUCUUGCCCACAGGCGAGUAAAAUGAGAACAUCAUCAACCACAAGGAUCAUCUCCGACUUUAGUCUGAUGCCUUUGCUCGUCCAGAGGUGAGUUGAGAGAGAGCAUCAUCGACGACAAAGGUCAUCUUCGAUCUAAGUCCAAUGCACCCCCCUCGUCAGUAGGCGAGCUAAGGGAGGGCAUCACCGAAAUGAAAUAAUGUCAUCC